rnacentral:lncRNA from 1 species
UUUCGGCCCAUAUAAUUCGUUCCGACAAGUACACGUCAUCAUUCGUCAUUGCGAUUUAGGAGUCCCCAGCCAAAAAAAAGAAGGGGAAAUCAAGCUUGCGAUGAUCGAACGUCGCCGCCGAUUGCUCUUUUUUAACUCUCGUACGACUUGCGAAAUUUGAAGAAUUGUAAGAAAGAGAUUUACCUUUACGCCAAGUAUUCGACGAAUUGCCUCAGCGACUUCGUUCUCUCUUGAAACUGAGGUUUUUACUCUCAGCUAUGAAGGAGAAAAGACUGGGAACUGUUCUCAGUUGACCGAAAAGGAAUCUGGUUUACUACACUUAGUAAUGACGAAGGAUAUCAAUUUGGUGGUUCAGUCCAGUGCCCAAAUUCUCGAGUAUGAUCAUUAGUUAUUUGCUGGGGACUUCGUCAUUAUAAUGAUCUUUUUUGUUUGUAAAUUGUAGAGUAUGAUUUAAGUCAAUGUACUCUUUCUUUUGUACAGAGACUAGGAUAAAGUCCUCCAAUUGUGCGGUAGCUUCACCAUUGAUGUUCUGUCUUACCGCUCAGGGCCGUGCCAGUUUCUUUUCCUUCAAUUCCAUAGACAUCCUUGUCUUACCGUAAAUGUGACAAGAAAACAGAAUGCUCGUGUUGGGAGUAACUUGGACGACUCAUUGAUGAGGUAAUAUGUACAACUUUAUCUUGUUCUAGAGGCAUACUAGGAAGUAUGAACUGUAAGCUGGCUCCAAAAAUAAUUGAAAGACAAAGGCACAUGUUUUCGUAAUUGACUCUCUAUAACUUACUUUGUGCAGUCUACAUCAUGAUUUUAGCAACCAUACUACUUUGAGUUUCUUCGCUAUGAUCUCUUUGAACAUUCCUAGAUGUGAAACCAGUAAUGCUUGGUUAAAAUGUGGUUAUAAUCCUUUCUUUUCAGCACUUACCAUGAAAAGUGAGAAAGUAUAGUCCUUUAUUCCAAAAGGUAAAGAGAGGGAGAGAAUUAUCUUCGUUUUCUUUUAUUUGGCAUAGGCAUCAACAUCCUGUUCUAGUAGCUGGCUGAAUACGUUAAGUAAAUGUAUUCCCAUUAGCCGAAAAUGACCAAUUGAUGCUGAUUUGCAUGCUAAAUUUUGGAGUUUCUUAAAUUUGUGUGGACAAUGUUGGUCCAUGUUAUCAGUUUAAUUUACAAAUCAUGUUAUUCUGACUAAUCCUUGCUCAGGGAAUGAGUUGGCAUAAGUUGAAUUUUCCUGCAAUUUACAUGUUCAGUGAUCUGGAACGUGUCAAGAAACUGAAGAUUCUACUGCCAGAAAAUAAUCAAAGGUAUUUACUUUGAACUUAGGUGUCGUCUUUCUUGUGAAGUGACAACCUGUGAAAUCUGCUUUUAGUUUUCUACUUACAGCUACUCAUAGUGAUGCAUAUCUCUUUCAUGUGGCACCAAUUCAAUUAGAGUGAUAGGCACUGUUCAAGAUAAUAAGAUUUCACCAGUUUCAUUUUUAAACUAUGUAGAGAAAUGUUGCUUUCCUUAAACUAGUGCAGCUAAUAGGAACAUAUCUAAUUAACUCAUAAUAGUUUAGACAAAAUUAACAAAACUAGGAUUCAUAUGCGUAACUGUGGUAAUAACUUGUAGGCAUCCAAAAUAGAAGUAAUUUACAGCAUGCAGUCUAGUCCAUCUUCACCAUAGUAGUUCAGAAGGAAGGAACAAUUCCAUAUCCAGUCUCAGACAUUAGCGAUGCUGAGAAGAUUUCUUCAGCCUCAGCUUCAAUUUCUAUCCUUUUUGCGAAUCUGCCCUUGAUUCUUGGUCGUAUCUCUGCAUAUGCCUUUCUUGAAGCAUACCUUAUUGUCUUGUCAAAUUUCCUUGUCUUCUUCUUCUCUCUGUAUCUCAGGACCCUAGCCUCCCUUUCCAUUGGAGUAAGCUGUUGCACCAUCGGAG